rnacentral:tRNA from 1 species
GCACUCUUAGUUUAAGUGGUGAAAACAUAGAUUUUCAAAAUCUAGUAUUAAGGGUUCGAGUCCUUUAGAGUGCG